rnacentral:rRNA from 1 species
AGAGUUUGAUCCUGGCUCAGGAUGAACGCUAGCUACAGGCUUAACACAUGCAAGUCGAGGGGAAACGAUAUUGGAAGCUUGCUUCCGAUAGGCGUCGACCGGCUACGGGUGAGUAACGCGUAUCCAACCUGCCCACCACUUGGGGAUAACCUUGCGAAAGUAAGACUAAUACCCAAUGACGUCUCUAGAAGACAUCUGAAAGAGAUUAAAGAUUUAUCGGUGAUGGAUGGGGAUGCGUCUGAUUAGCUUGUUGGCGGAGUAACGGCCCACCAAGGCGGCGAUCAGUAGGGGUUCUGAGAGGAAGGCCCCCCACAUUGGAACUGAGACACGGUCCAAACUCCUACGGGAGGCAGCA